rnacentral:rRNA from 1 species
GGGCCUUACCCGGCCCUCGAUUCUCACCCUUGAUUAUGUGCACCUUUUGUUGUUUCCUCGGCAGGUCUCCUGCCGGUAGGAACCCUACAAACCCCUUUGCAAUAGCAUCAAAACUUCUGAAAAAUAUACCCAACUAUUUACAACUUUUAACAAUGGAUCUCUUGGUUCUGGCAUCGAUGAAGAACGCAGCGAAAUGCGAUAAGUAGUGUGAAUUGCAGAAUUCAGUGAAUCAUCGAAUCUUUGAACGCACAUUGCGCCCCUUGGUAUUCCAUGGGGCAUGCCUGUUCGAGCGUCAUUUACCCCCUCAAGCUCUGCUUGGUGUUGGGCGUCUGUCCCGUCUUCGUGCGUGGACUCGCCUUAAAGGUAUUGGCAGUCGUCUGUGUUUUUGCCCACGCGCAGCACAUUGCGCUUCUUGAGGCUUGUGAAACUGGACCGACAACCAUCAAGACCCCUUCCACAGUUUGACCUCGGAUCAGGUAGGGAUACCCGCUGAACUUAAGCAUAUCAAUA